CCCGGUGAUAAUUAUUUAACGGCCGCGGUAUUUUGACCGUGCAAAGGUAGCAUAAUCAUUUGUCUUUUAAUAGGAGUCUUGAAUGAAUGGAUAUAUGAAAUUAUAACUGUCUCUUAUUUAUAUUUAUAAAUUAUUUUACAAGUGAAUAAGCUUGUAUAUUAAUAAAAGACAAAAAGACCCUAUUGAUCUUUAUUUUUGUAAAAUUUUUUAGAUAUAACUACUUUAUUAUUUAAUAAAAUUUAGUUGGGGCGACUAAGAAAUAUAUAAAUCUUUUUAUUUAUUUGUGAAUAACAUUUCUUUUUAUAGAUCUAUUAUUUAAUAAAUGGAAAUAGUUACCAUAGGGAUAACAGGCUAAUUUUUUUUGAGAGUUCUUAUUAAAAAAAAAGUUUGGCACCUCGAUGUUGGCUUAAGAUAUCCUAUAGGUGUAGCAGCUUAUAAAGGUUAGUUUGUUCAACUAUUAAAAUCUUA
rnacentral:rRNA from 1 species